rnacentral:rRNA from 1 species
AGUGAACGCUGGCGGUAGGCCUAACACAUGCAAGUCGAACGGCAGCACAGUAAGAGCUUGCUCUUACGGGUGGCGAGUGGCGGACGGGUGAGGAAUACAUCGGAAUCUACUUUUUCGUGGGGGAUAACGUAGGGAAACUUACGCUAAUACCGCAUACGACCUACGGGUGAAAGCAGGGGAUCUUCGGACCUUGCGCGAUUGAAUGAGCCGAUGUCGGAUUAGCUAGUUGGCGGGGUAAAGGCCCACCAAGGCGACGAUCCGUAGCUGGUCUGAGAGGAUGAUCAGCCACACUGGAACUGAGACACGGUCCAGACUCCUACGGGAGGCGGCAGUGGGGAAUAUUGGACAAUGGGCGCAAGCCUGAUCCAGCCAUACCGCGUGGGUGAAGAAGGCCUUCGGGUUGUAAAGCCCUUUUGUUGGGAAAGAAAAGCAGCAGGUUAAUACCCCGCUGUUCUGACGGUACCUAAAGAAUAAGCACCGGCUAACUUCGUG